rnacentral:rRNA from 1 species
GACGUAGGGGGCCAGCGUUGUUCGGAAUUACUGGGUGUAAAGGGUUCGUAGGCGGUGCGGCAAGUCGGGAGUGAAAUCUCUGGGCUUAACCCAGAGGCUGCUUCCGAAACUGCUGUGCUUGAGUGUGGGAGAGGCGCGUGGAAUUGCAGGUGUAGCGGUGAAAUUCGUAGAUAUUCGCAAGAACACCAGUGGCGAAGGCGGCUCACUG